GACGAACGCUGGCGGCGUGCUUAACACAUGCAAGUCGAACGGAAAGGCCCUGCUUUUGUGGGGUGCUCGUGUGGCGAACGGGUGAGUAACACGUGAGUAACCUGCCCUUGACUUUGGGAUAACUUCAGGAAACUGGGGCUAUUACCGGAUAGGAGCUCCUGCUGCAUGGUGGGGGUUGGUAAGUUUCGGCGGUUGGGGAUGGACUCGCGGCUUAUCAGCUUGUUGGUGGGGUAGUGGCUUACCAAGGCUUUGACGGGUAGCCGGCAUGAGAGGGUGAACGGCGACAUGGGGACUGAGAGACGGCGCAGACUCCUACGGGAGGCAGCAGUGGGGAGUAUGGCACAAUAGGCGGAAGCCUGAUGCAGCAACGCCGCGUGCGGGAUGACGGCCUUCGGGUUGUAAACCGCUUUCGCCUGUGACGAAGCGUGAGUGACGGUAAUGGGUAAAGAAGCACCGGCUAACUACGUG
rnacentral:rRNA from 1 species